UCUCCGUAGGUGAACCUGCGGAGGGAUCAUUACAGAGUCCGGGUCCGAGAGGGCCCGAUCUCCCACCCCAUGACGUCGCGAAACCGUUGCUUCGGCGGGAGGGACGCCCGCGAGGGCGACCCGCGCGGUUCCGCCGCAACCCGCCGGAGUCCACAAGACGAAACACCAUGAAACAACCACGAGUCCGAGCAAAUUCUUGAGAAUCGAAAAUUCUUGAAAACUUUCAACAAUGGAUCUCUUGGUUCCGGCAUCGAUGAAGAACGCAGC
rnacentral:misc_RNA from 1 species